UACAGAGGUCCCGAGCGUUGUUCGGAUUCACUGGGCGUAAAGGGUGCGUAGGUGGCGAUGAAAGUUCGAUGUGAAAUCUCCGGGCUUAACCCGGAAAAGGCAUUGAAAACUAUGUUGCUUGAGGUUUGGAGGGGGGACUGGAAUUCUUGGUGUAGCAGUGAAAUGCGUAGAUAUCAAGUGGAACACCAGUGGCGAAGGCGAAUCCCUGGAAAAUACCUGACACUGAGGCACGAAAGCUAGGGGAGCAAACAGG
rnacentral:rRNA from 1 species